GAGAGAGAGAGAGAGAGAGAUGGGAAAAAACUGCAGUUUCAUUUCAGGAAUAUCACCAGCUAUCAUGUGUAAGAAACAAUUAUAUUAUAACGUUUGAACAUUUGAACGUCUUGUAGACUUGUAACCUAUGAUUUCCCUGUGACAGUGAACGAAAAAACAUCCAUGUUUUUUUACACAGAUUUUUUAACUCAGUAUUUUGAUAACUGGCCUAAUGAAGUGGAAGGUGUCUUGCUCGUCAGAGAGUGGAAGGUGUCUUGCUCGUCAGAGAGUGGAAUGUGUCUUGCUCGUCAGAGAGUGGAAUGUGUCUUGCUCGUCAGAGAGUGGAAGGUGUCUUGCUCGUCAGAGAGUGGAAGGUGUCUUGCUCGCCAGAGAGUGGAAGGUGUCUUGCUCGUCAGAGAGUGGAAGGUGUCUUGCUCGUCAGAGAGUGGACAACUUUGCUGAUAUUAUUGUUUGAAAUGGCUUUGAGCUGUUUCAAGUUUGUUUGUUGGUUUGGUUUGGGGUUUUUUUUGUGAACUUGUAAAGUG